AAUUAUUUUUGAAAUAUGUUUAUGUUUCAGUUUUAUUCGUAUAGUUUUUGAAUCAAUGAAGCUUUUAUUAAUUUAAAAAAUAAUAUACACAUGGCGAGAUCACAUCGGAUCCAGCCUACAAAAACCAAUCCCACUAUGAAAGCAAGAAACCAAAAAUAUAUAAGUUAGUUCAUCAUCAACCUAACAAUGAGUGUGCUAACUUUUUGGUUUUUCCACCCCUUAUACAUAAUGACAUCUAUGAUUUUCUCUUCUAUCUUCGUGUUAUUUACAAUAUUUUCAUAAUUCUUAUCAUUCCAAUGCUUCCAUAUUUCAUAAAUUGCUUUUGUUGCUGCAAACUAGAUUAAGCUAGCUUUCCAGCCUUUUGUUUUGCUCCUCCUGACAAUCCAUUGUAGCUCUUCCUUCUAGAUAUUCCUAAGUUCAUCACAUCCAAACAACAGGUGCUGGAGUGUUUCAACCUUAGGACAGAAACAUCAUUUAUUGUUAUCAAUCAAACCAAAUCGUUGCAACCUUUCUUUAGUGGCUAGUUUCUCAUGAAAGGCUAACCACAUCACUACCAGUGAUGUGUUCAUUUAUUUCUUUUUGGGAGGUUGGUCUACAUUUAAAAUUUAAAAAAUCUUAAUUUAAUUUAAAUAAAAUUAAAUUAAUUAAUAGAAAUUUUAAAAAAUAUAUAUAAUUCAAUAAAAAAAGUUAUUAUUUGCGAUUUGUAAGGUCAGAUUAUAAUAGUUAUUUUAUAUUUAUUUAAUUUUAAAGUGGCCCUUCAAAGUCUUCAAAGCGGUAAUAUCUCUUUCGUGCCUUUGGAAUCGAACAUACUAUGAUUGAUUGAUUAUUACACUAUUUUUGCAGCCUGCAAAAAGAAUACUCAUUAGAUUACACUUUACUCGAAAACGACCCUUAAAAUAUAGAUAAAUAUUUUUUUUAAUUAAAUUCUUAUUGUGCAGAAGGAUGUGAAGCGUGUCAAUAGAGCAUACGUGCGCUCCACCUUUGUUGCGGCAGUCCCUAAAUCAUAUGUUUCAAUUGCGAUUUACUCCGGUUCCACAACAGUUUCAUGUGCUUGUCUAGGUUCUUCGGUGCGUCUUUUUGGACAGUAUGACUAUCAAUGGAUGGAAUAUGAUGAUUCCCCUUGCCUUUUUUGGACUGAAUAAUUUGGGAAAUUUUGAGAUCUUGAUAUGGAAUCAUUGAAUGAUACUUUUCUCCAAUCAUUAUGUGUUGACUUCAACCAAGUUUCAAAUCACAUGUCAGAAUGGCUUCCUCAACCACAUAUAAUCAUAUGGUGUAAAAAUGUUAGCUUUGUUGUUAUGUUACAUAGAGAAAGCAGAAAGUUGUUUUGUUGAACAUAGAAAAAGCAGAAAAAUGUUUUGUUGUUCGAUUACAUAGUAAAAAAUGUCAAAAAUUACACUGAUAUAAGUAUUAAGUGUAAAAG